AUGGAAGCAAAUGCUCUUGCCGGGCGGCAUAAAAUGCUCAUUUCUGUGAUGUAUUCAGAUCCUGAUUCCUUCAGGAGAAUGCUUGUAUGUUGUUCACAGGUCUCAGAAUCCACUCUCCUUGUGUUUUCAUUUGAAGUUGUACACGGAUUAGGAUGGUAUGAGGUCGGGGUUGACUGGACAAUGAUGGAUGAAAACAGCCUGAGUAAUGGUGAGUACCAUUCAUCAGUUCAUGAUGAAUAUUCGUCUCUCAUGGAAAGACAGGUAGGUAAGAAUGUCGCUCUAACUUUGUAUAUAUUCUACCAGACUCACCAUUUCUUAUCAUCUUCCUUCAGAGUAACCUGAGUUAACCUCUUGGCUAAAAUAUUGUGAAGGGACACAAUGCCUUGGGCUGGUUGCUGUAAAAACUAAUAUGCUAUUUAGUUAUUUAAAAGGUAAUGAAAAAUAUCUUGUGGAUUAACAAAUCAACAGAAAACCAUUAUAGGAAAGUAUAGAGAACCAAAAGAAAAGAUACAUAUCCAUAAUCACAUGAUUAUGCCACCCCAAUAAUAUCAGGUAAUUUUCUGUGCAUAUCUUUUAAAAAAGGGUUCAUACUGUAUAUACUCACUUAAAACCUAUUUUUGUCCCCAACUCUGUAUUAUAUGCAUUUUUAUUUCAAUAGUUAUUCCCAUAAUAUUUUUUAAAUGUGUACAUAUUACAUCAAUGAAUGAUGUGAGAUUGUCUAACCUAAUGCUUAUUGCUGGACAUUUUGGUUGUCUUAAAUUUUACUAUUGUAGACAAUAUUAACAAACAUUUUGAAAUGAAAUAAUUAUACAUAUGCUUAAUUAUUUCCAAAGGAUCUAUUUCUUUCUGUAAGGGGAAUAUUCAUUUUAAAGACUUUUCAUAACUACAGUGUAUGCUAUUUAAAAACAUUGUAACCCAUGCAAAGAGUAAUUAUAUAUUGAACAGCAUUCAUCUAGCAUAUAUUUUUUAUUAAGAAUUAUUAAAGUAUGAUUAAGAACUGGUAUUAUUCAAAUCCUUUAUAUUAACUCAAUGUGUUACAUACAAUACAGUUUGGCAAGAUCUUUAAACAAAUCUGGAGGGAAAUGAAAAUUUCUCUCAUCUUAAGAGUGAUCCACUUUUCUAUUUCUCUUCUUUUUUUAAAAACAGCUUUGUUGGGAGGAGGGAGGGGGGUUCAGGAUGGGGAACACGUGUAUACCUGUGGCGGAUACAUGUUGAUGUAUGGCAAAACCAACACAAUAUUGUAAAGUAAUUAACCUCCAAUUAAAUAAAUUCAUAUUUUAAAAAACCAGCUUUGUUGUAAUAUAAUUCAUAUACCCUACAGUUUGCCCACUUAAAGAGUGUAAGUCAGUUGUUAGUCUGGUCAUAGUUGUGCAACUAUCACCACCAUUGUAGAAAAAUUGUGUUACUCGUAAAAGAAACCCUGCGCCGCUAAACUCCACCCUGGUCCUCUGUUAUUCCCAGGCCCAGGUAACCACUUUUGCUUGCCUUUUGACACUGUAGGUUUGCUUAUUCUUGACACUUGAUAUAAAUGGAAUCACACAAUAUGAGGCCCUUGGUGACUGACUGCUUUCACUUAAGCAUAUCAUUUUAAAGGUUCAUUUAUGUAGCAAUAUGUGUCAGUAAUUUGUUCCUUUUAUUUUUUACUGAAUAAUAUUCCACUGUAUGGAUAUACCUCAUUGAUCUGUACAUCAGAUAGACAUGUGAGUUGUUUCCACUUUUAUGUACGAUGAGUAAUGCUUCUAUGAACAUUUUUAUCCUUAUUUUUGAGUGGACAUUGUUUUUAUUUCUCUGGGGUGUGAGAAUGAAGUGUGAGAGUGAAAUUGUUGAUUGUAUUUUAACUCUGUUUGAUGACAUGAGAAAAUGCCAGACUCUUGUUUUCAAAAGAUACCAACUCUGUUUCACAGUGUUUAUGUUGAUAAUUAAAUUAUUUUCUUUUAAAAUUCAUUUUUAAAAUAACUCAACCUCAGGACCUAUAAUUGUUGUAGGUAUAUAAAAUUUGUAUGUGUUUUGAAUAGAUUUGCGGUAAUUGUUAUCUUACCGCUGCUACUGCUAAGUCACUUCAGUCGUGUCUGACUCUGUGCGACCCCAGAGACGGCAGCCCACCAGGCUCCCCCGUCCCUGGGAUUCUCCAGGCAAGAACACUGGAGAGGGUUGCCAUUUCCUUCUCCAAGAACAAAAGCUGCUACUGCUGCUGCUAAGUCGCUUCAGUCGUGUCCGACUCUGUGCGACCCCAUAGACCGCAGCCCACCAGGCUCUGCCGUCCCUCGGAUUCUCCAGGCAAGAACACUGGAGUGGGUUGCCAUUUCCUUUUCCAAUUGUUAUCUUACUCUAUUAUAAAUGUAGAUAUUAAUCAUUUACUGUCUGUGGUUUCCAAUAAUA
rnacentral:lncRNA from 1 species